rnacentral:rRNA from 1 species
UAAGACGAACCGAGCGAACGUUGUUCGGAAUAACUGGGCUUAAAGGGCGCGUAGGCGGGCUGUCAAGUCUGGGGUGAAAUCCCGCGGCUCAACCGUGGAACUGCCUCAGAUACUGACGGUCUCGAGGGAGGUAGGGGCGAGCGGAACUGUGAGUGGAGCGGUGAAAUGCGUUGAUAUUCACAGGAACUCCGGUGGCGAAGGCGGCUCGCUGGACCUCUUCUGACGCUGAGGCGCGAAAGCCAGGGGAGCAAACGGGAUUAGAUACCCCGGUAGUCCUGGCCCUAAACGUUGGGUACUAGGUAGUAGACUAGACAUGGGUUUACUGCCGAAGCAAAAGUGCUAAGUACCCCGCCUGGGGAGUAUGGUCGCAAGGCUGAAACUCAAAUGAAUUGACGG